UGGACAUGAUUUUCCUCUACAAAUUAUUGGUGAAAUUGAUUUAUACAAAUUUGAUCCUUGGGUUUUACCUAGUAAGGCGACAUUUGGUGAAAAAGAAUGGUAUUUCUUCAGUCCGAGGGAUAGGAAGUAUCCGAAUGGAUCUAGACCAAACAGAGUAGCUGGGUCUGGUUAUUGGAAAGCAACUGGAACUGAUAAAGUUAUUACUACAGACGGUAGAAAAGUCGGAAUCAAAAAGGCUUUAGUGUUUUACAUUGGUAAAGCACCUAAAGGAACUAAAACAAAUUGGAUUAUGCACGAA
rnacentral:misc_RNA from 1 species